UACGUAGGCAGCAAGCGUUGUUCGGAGUUACUGGGCGUAAAGGGAGCGUAGGCGGACUGUUAAGUUAGAGGUGAAAGCCCAGGGCUCAACCUUGGAAUUGCCUUUGAUACUGGCAGUCUUGAGUACGGAAGAGGUAUGUGGAACUCCGAGUGUAGAGGUGAAAUUCGUAGAUAUUCGGAAGAACACCAGUGGCGAAGGCGACAUACUGGUCCGUUACUGACGCUGAGGCUCGAAAGCGUGGGGAGCAAACAGG
rnacentral:rRNA from 1 species